UACGGGGGGAGCAAGCGUUGUUCGGAUUUACUGGGCGUAAAGGGCGCGUAGGCGGUCACGACAAGUCAGUUGUGAAAUCUCCGGGCUUAACUCGGAACGGUCAACUGAUACUGUCGGACUAGAGUGCAGAAGGGGCAACUGGAAUUCUCGGUGUAGCGGUGAAAUGCGUAGAUAUCGAGAGGAACACCUGCGGCGAAGGCGGGUUGCUGGGCUGACACUGACACUGAGGCACGAAAGCGUGGGGAGCAAACAGG
rnacentral:rRNA from 1 species